rnacentral:rRNA from 1 species
UACGGAGGGUGCGAGCGUUGUUCGGAAUCACUGGGCGUAAAGGGCGCGUAGGCGGCCUGGUAAGUAGGGGGUGAAAUCUUGCGGCUUAACCGCAAGGCUGCCUUCUAAACUGUCAGGCUAGAGCAUAGUAGAGGCAGGUGGAAUUCCCGGUGUAGCGGUGGGAUGCGUAGAGAUCGGGAAGAACAUCAGUGGCGAAGGCGGCCUGCUGGGCUGUUGCUGACGCUGAGGCGCGACAGCGUGGGGAGCAAACAGG